rnacentral:tRNA from 1 species
GAGGGUAUAGCUCAGUGGUACAGUGCGUGCUUAGCAUGCACAAGGUCCGGGGUUCAAUCCCCAGGACCUCCA